CUUGCUCAUUUCACCCUCCUCUCUCAGUUAUGUACUACCAUGCUUUUAUGGCACGACGCCAUCCCUUCAGGGAUAUAUAGUAGCUAUCCCGGGAAUCUUCAGCACCCUCAGGGCCUAAGGAUACUAUAUUAUCAGCUAUGUCUCCAAGAACUACACUAUGCUAAACAUAAUUUUCUCUCUCUCUAUCCCUCAAUCACAGUUCCUUUCCUCUUCUUUCUUCCUCCUUUCCCUUCCUUCUUUUUUCUCUUUCUCCAACAGGAAUCUCAAGGUACCUAUCACAAACCACAACUUGGGUUCACUAAAUAUGUUACAUUACCUCCUUAUCAAGCCCUCGUCUAGGGUCAGAGAACUUGCUAUCUAGGGUUAGGAGCUGGCCUUAGUUGUACAACGUAGCUGGUCCCGCGAGGCCAACUCCCCAAACUCAACACAGAGAUUUUCGCCCCUCUGCCCACAUCAUAGUUAGAGCCUCGCAUUCACCCACCUAUCGGGUUUAUAGUUAGGGCCUUACCUGUCAGGGCCACACGUUUUGGGAUCUUUUAUUGUCACAGAGAGGCUGCCACCCCGCCAGUGGCUCGAGCCCCACGCCCAAAUCAUAGGUAGAGCCUCUCACCAGCCGCUUGGCAACUAGCAGGGCCUCACCUGUCACGGGGUAGUUUUGCGCUUCGGCACUAGUUAGCCAGCCAGUUCUACAUAAAAUCAACUGUAUUUUAUUAAUCAGUACAUUGUCAUCGUGGUAUUCUUUUUCAGUAUGUCCCAAGAAGGCAACAAAGGAAAAGAACCAUCCCUCCCUAGCGCAACCACUAAACUGAACCUUGAGAAUUCUGGGUUG